rnacentral:rRNA from 1 species
UACGUAGGUGGCAAGCGUUGUCCGGAAUUAUUGGGCGUAAAGCGCGCGCAGGUGGUUUCUUAAGUCUGAUGUGAAAGCCCACGGCUCAACCGUGGAGGGUCAUUGGAAACUGGGGAACUUGAGUGCAGGAGAGAAGAGUGGAAUUCCACGUGUAGCGGUGAAAUGCGUAGAGAUGUGGAGGAACACCAGUGGCGAAGGCGGGUCUCUGGACAGUUCCUGACACUGAGACACGAAGGCCAGGGGAGCAAACGGG